rnacentral:tRNA from 1 species
GGAGGCUUCGCCUAGUCCGGUCUAUGGCGCCGCACUGCUAAUGCGGUUGGGAGUGACCCUCCCUCGCGGGUUCAAAUCCCGCAGCCUCCG